GCCUCGCCGAGAUAUUAACGGCGCAGGCUUCACUUCUGCUGUUGUGGUGACUGAGGGCUUUCCGGUGACCUCAGCCUAACGCAGGCCGUCUGCGGAGCCGCCUGGUAGUGGCCCCGGAGUCCCACGGUCUCUGUCAUUGGCUGUCAGCCAGCAGGCCUGGCCGCUCCCGUGCGGAGAGACCAUCUCUUCAGGGCAAUGUCCAGGCCGAGCAGCGUCUCCCCGCGGCAGCCGGCUCCUGGCGGUGGCGGAGGCGGCGGCCCCUCGCCGUGUGGUCCUGGGGGCGGCGGCCGGGCCAAGGGACUGAAGGACAUUCGCAUUGAUGAGGAGGUGAAGAUAGCAGUCAAUAUCGCGCUGGAGCGCUUCCGAUACGGGGACCAGAGAGAAAUGGAGUUUCCUUCUUCUUUGACCAGUACUGAAAGAGCCUUUAUUCAUCGACUCAGUCAGUCUCUUGGUUUGGUCUCUAAAAGUAAAGGAAAGGGAGCAAAUAGAUACCUAACUGUGAAGAAGAAAGAUGGAUCAGAAACAGCUCAUGCAAUGAUGACCUGUAAUUUGACUCAUAAUACAAAACAUGCUGUUAGGAGCCUAAUUCAGAGAUUUCCUGUCACCAAUAAAGAGCGUACAGAACUUCUGCCUAAAACAGAAAGAGGAAAUGUGUUUGCAGUUGAAGCUGAAAACCGGGAAAUGAGCAAGACAAGUGGGCGACUCAACAAUGGCAUACCUCAGAUUCCAGUGAAAAGAGGAGAAUCCGAAUUUGAUUCUUUUAGGCAGUCUUUACCAGUGUUUGAGAAACAGGAAGAAAUUGUUAAAAUAAUUAAGGAAAAUAAAGUAGUUUUGAUUGUAGGAGAAACUGGGUCUGGAAAGACCACACAGAUUCCUCAGUUCCUUUUAGAUGAUUGCUUUAAAAAUGGUAUCCCCUGCCGUAUAUUUUGUACUCAACCAAGACGAUUGGCAGCUAUCGCUGUGGCUGAAAGAGUUGCCGCAGAGAGAAGGGAAAGGAUUGGUCAAACAAUUGGUUAUCAGAUCCGAUUAGAAAGCAGGGUUUCUCCAAAGACACUUCUGACAUUUUGUACUAAUGGGGUAUUGCUUCGUACAUUGAUGGCAGGAGAUAGUACGUUGUCGACUGUGACACAUGUUAUCGUGGAUGAAGUGCAUGAAAGGGAUCGAUUUAGUGAUUUCUUACUUACAAAGUUAAGAGAUUUGUUGCAAAAGCACCCAACUUUGAAACUAAUUCUUUCUAGUGCUGCCUUGGAUGUAAAUCUCUUCAUAAGAUAUUUUGGAAGUUGUCCAGUGAUAUAUAUACAGGGAAGACCAUUUGAAGUAAAAGAAAUGUUUCUGGAAGAUAUUUUAAGAACAACUGGAUAUACAAACAAAGAAAUGUUAAAAUACAAAAAGGAAAAACAGCAAGAAGAGAAACAACAAACCACACUUACAGAAUGGUACUCAGCUCAAGAAAAUAGUUUCAAGCCUGGAUCUCAGAGGCAGAGAACUGUUCUAAAUGUGACUGAUGAGUAUGACUUACUGGAUGAUGGUGGUGAUGCUGUCUUCAGUCAGCUGACUGAAAAAGAUGUGAAUUGCCUUGAACCAUGGUUAGUAAAGGAAAUGGAUGCUUGCCUUUCUGAUAUAUGGCUACAUAAAGAUAUUGAUGCCUUUGCUCAGGUCUUUCAUCUCAUUUUAACUGAAAAUGUUAGUGUUGAUUACAGACAUAGUGAAACCAGUGCAACAGCUCUGAUGGUUGCUGCAGGACGUGGCUUUGCAAGUCAAGUAGAACAGUUAAUCAGUAUGGGAGCCAAUGUCCAUAGUAAAGCAUCAAAUGGCUGGAUGGCAUUGGAUUGGGCUAAACACUUUGGGCAGACUGAAAUUGUGGAUCUUCUGGAAUCUUACAGUGCUUCACUGGAAUUUGGAAAUCUGGAUGAAAGUUCUCUGGUUCAAACAAAUGGAAGUGACCUCAGUGCUGAAGACAGAGAGCUCCUGAAAGCUUAUCAUCAUAGUUUCGAUGAUGAAAAAGUAGACUUGGAUUUGAUCAUGCAUCUUCUAUACAAUAUCUGCCAUAGUUGUGAUGCUGGUGCAGUACUAAUUUUUCUGCCUGGAUAUGACGAAAUUGUUGGACUGAGAGAUCGCAUCCUGUUUGAUGACAAGCGGUUUGCUGACAAUACACAUAGAUAUCAAGUCUUUAUGCUUCAUUCAAAUAUGCAAACAUCCGAUCAAAAGAAAGUAUUAAAAAACCCACCUGCAGGUGUUCGAAAAAUAAUUCUUUCCACCAAUAUUGCUGAAACCAGCAUCACAGUCAAUGAUGUUGUCUUUGUUAUUGAUUCUGGUAAGGUGAAAGAGAAAUCCUUUGAUGCUCUGAAUUUUGUUACAAUGUUAAAAAUGGUAUGGAUUUCCAAAGCUAGUGCCAUACAGCGGAAAGGCAGGGCAGGGCGAUGUAGACCUGGAAUUUGUUUUCGUCUGUUCAGUAGACUCCGAUUCCAGAAUAUGUUGGAAUUUCAGACUCCGGAACUUUUGAGAAUGCCAUUACAGGAACUUUGCUUACAUACCAAGCUGUUAGCCCCAGUUAAUUGUCCCGUUGCUGAUUUUCUUAUGAAAGCUCCUGAACCUCCACCAGCUUUAAUUGUAAGAAAUGCUGUACAAAUGCUUAAGACAAUAGAUGCAAUGGAUACAUGGGAAGAUCUGACUGAACUUGGGUAUCAUUUGGCUGACUUGCCAGUAGAACCACAUCUUGGUAAAAUGGUCUUGUGUGCUGUUGUUUUAAAGUGUCUGGACCCCAUCCUUACAAUUGCUUGCACGCUAGCUUAUCGAGAUCCUUUUGUACUACCUACUCAGGCCUCUCAAAAACGUGCAGCUAUGCUUUGCAGGAAACGUUUUACUGCAGGAGCUUUCAGUGACCAUAUGGCACUUCUCAGAGCAUUCCAGGCCUGGCAAAAAGCACGAAGUGAUGGGUGGGAGCGAGCCUUUUGUGAAAAGAAUUUUCUUUCACAGGCUACUAUGGAAAUAAUCAUAGGCAUGAGAACACAGUUGCUUGGUCAACUUAGAGCAUCAGGUUUUGUUAGAGCACGAGGUGGUGGUGACAUUCGAGAUGUUAACACAAACUCUGAGAAUUGGGCUGUCGUUAAAGCUGCAUUGGUGGCAGGCAUGUAUCCUAAUUUAGUCCACGUGGACAGAGAGAAUCUAGUGUUGACAGGGCCAAAGGAGAAAAAAGUACGAUUUCAUCCUGCUUCAGUUCUCAGUCAGCCUCAAUAUAAAAAGAUUCCUCCAGCCAAUGGUCAAGCUGCAGCAAUUAAGGCACUGCCCACAGAUUGGCUUAUUUAUGAUGAAAUGACCAGAGCCCAUAGAAUAGCUAAUAUUAGAUGUUGUUCAGCAGUGACGCCUGUCACUAUAUUGGUAUUCUGUGGACCAGCUAGAUUGGCAAGUAAUGCUCUUCAGGAACCUUCAUCCUUUAGAGUGGAUGGCAUUCCCAAUGACAGUAGUGAUAGUGAAAUGGAGGACAAAACUACAGCUAAUUUGGCAGCCUUGAAACUUGAUGAGUGGCUCCAUUUCAAACUGGAGCCAGAGGCAGCUAGUUUAUUGCUGCAGCUCAGACAGAAGUGGCAUAGCUUAUUUUUACGCCGAAUGAGAGCUCCAUCCAAACCUUGGUCUCAAGUUGAUGAAGCUACCAUAAGAGCAAUUAUAGCUGUUUUAAGCACUGAAGAACAGUCUGCAGGUUUACAACAACCAUCUGGGAUUGGCCAAAGGCCAAGGCCUAUGUCUUCAGAAGAGCUUCCUUUGGCUUCAUCUUGGAGGUCAAAUAAUAGUAGGAAAAGUUCAGCAGAUACUGAAUUUUCUGAUGAGUGUACUACUGCAGAAAGAGUACUGAUGAAAUCUCCAUCUCCAGCAUUACACCCACCUCAGAAGUACAAAGAUAGAGGAAUUUUACAUCCUAAACGAGGCACUGAGGACCGAUCAGAUCAGUCUUCGGUGAAAUCUACAGACAGCAGUAGUUACCCAAGUCCUUGUGCUAGUCCUUCUCCUCCAUCCUCAGGAAAGGGCUCAAAAUCUCCUUCACCAAGACCAAACAUGCCUGUUCGAUACUUCAUAAUGAAGAGUAGCAAUUUGAGAAACCUUGAAAUUUCUCAACAGAAGGGUAUCUGGUCUACAACUCCUAGUAAUGAACGGAAGCUAAAUCGAGCCUUUUGGGAAAGCAGCAUGGUUUACUUGGUAUUUUCUGUUCAAGGAUCUGGACAUUUCCAGGGAUUUUCUAGGAUGUCUUCUGAGAUUGGAAGGGAAAAGAGUCAGGACUGGGGCUCUGCUGGACUAGGAGGAGUAUUUAAGGUGGAGUGGAUACGAAAAGAAAGCCUUCCCUUUCAGUUUGCACACCAUUUACUCAAUCCAUGGAAUGACAACAAGAAAGUGCAGAUAAGCAGGGAUGGGCAGGUAGAAACAGUUCCAGAAGGACUCCAUGGGAAUCUGUUGCCAUUUUGUCACAAAAGUUGAGAGAUUUUGCAGAUUAACUGUAAUCUUAAAUCUGGAAGUCAACUCCAUAAACCUUAAAGCAAAGAAUUAGAACAAUUCAUACCAUGUGAUUUUAGCAUAUGCUGGAACUAGAACCUCAGGUUGGUGAACAGUUGCUCCAGUUAUGGGAACGUCUUCCCUUGGGAGAAAAAAACACAACUGAUUGACACUCAGGUUAUACCAUCUUGACUUUGAGUAUUGGCAGUAUUUGUGAUCAUUAGGAACCUUUCAGAUUAUUUAUCUUUUUUUUUCCCCUUUCUUCUAGAACUCUUAGCUGUGGAAGAACAUCAUGCCUAUUUAUAACCACUGAAUGCACUGACUUUCAAAAACUGAGAUGGGGUGUGUGUUACGAAUGGGCUUUUUAACACUUUUAGAGUGUUGCUUUAGAACUACCAUCUUCAUAUACAGGAGAAAGGAAUCAUUUAAAUUUUUACAGUGAUCAUAGAGAAUGAUUAUAUGAUGUUUGUAAUGAAUAAAAUAGUUUCAUUAUUUGGCACAAUAGCAGUUUAUUUUAAACAAACUUAAUUUGAAGUUAAACAUUUCAUUUUUAAAAACACUGAAUUACAGUUCUUAUUGAUGACUUUUUAAUGCAGAGUAAGUUGUUUAAGAAAGGCCUGAAUAUAUCAGAACAUCUGAGCACAAUUUUAGAAGAGUCAACUCUUAAGAUUAUCAUUAGAAAACAAAUACAUCAACACCUGUGAAAAGAAGCGGGGAAAACAACAACAAGGACAACAAAAAACCAAUGAAAUUCUACAAAUGUCCCUUUUAAAAAUAGUAUGUGCGAAGGGCUAUUCAUUCUGCCAUUUUUAACUUGUGACACAUUAAGAAAAAAGUUGGAUGUUCUUUUUCUGUGAUUAUGAAAUGCAAUAAAAUCUGAAUAAAGGGCAAAGUUUCUUCCUGAUCAGAUUAGAUCAAGUGCUUAGUUUUAUUCCUUAUUCUGCCCCUUUUAACCUGAUGUGUACCUUACUCUUUCCUCCCUCUCUUCCUCCCUUCCUCCUCUCCCCACUCCUUUCCUGCAUUUCUCCCUCCCUCCCUCGUCACAUCUCUUAUAUGAGCACAGUAAUUAUGACCUUUUUGUUUUGGCUACAACUUGAUUGAAACAAGUUCAAAAUUUAAACAAGUUCAUACAAGUUUUUAAAAAUUCUCAACUGGUAGCUUGCUUGCUGUCCAUCUUCCAAACUAAAGCCUGCAAGCACCACAAUUCUAAGUGCUGCCUUCCAUUUUUUUUCAGUAUGUUUUCACUGGCUUAUGUUUUCAGAUAUGAUUUUCAUUUUUCGCAUAUAUGGUUUAAUAAAUGGGGGAUAAUUUUUUUUUUUUUGUAAACCCGUGCUUGUGCCAAGUCUCAUAUUUCUUUGCCAUCUCAGAAUUAUUUAUCUUUUUACCACCACUGUUUAUAAAAUUUCCUUAGAGACUUUUUGAAGGAAAAUAGAGCAACAGGGAAAAAUGAAAGAAAUGUCUUGGUUACUGAGCUCUAAAUAGACAGGUUUCAUAGCACUUCUCAUGAUACAUUUUAGUUAUAAAAGCAAACAAGCAAACAUGAGUGUAAAUUAAAGACAAAAAGAAAACUCUGGUUUUAUAUUUGAGAACAGGUGAAAAAUCAUGGGUCAACAUAAAAUCUUGACAACCUUCUACUUUCUCUGGGAGAGCAUUAUAUAGUGGUGCAUUAGUUUAGAAAGUCAGCUAUGAUUUUGCCUAUAGUUCUAGUUAUUUGCUUUGGGGUUUUAUUGUACUUUAAGACAUACCUGUAAAUUGAAUCUAUGUGAAUUAUAUUCCACUGUAUGUGUAUUAUAGUUCUUUUCCUAUUAGAGCAACUUGUGUUUCCCUGAUAAUGUGUACAUUUUUUGGGUAUGUACUUAAUAGUUCACAAUGUUCUAAAUUUGGAAGGACUUAAAAAAAAACUUGUUUUAAUUUCCAUCUGUUUUGUAAUAUCUAGCUCUAUAUGUAAAUGAUGGGUUUGUUGGUAUUUAAAAUGAAUACAACUUGAAUGUAAUUAAAAUGCUGUUUUUGGAAGUGAUAAACUUUAUACUUAUUAAAAUGGAAUUCUAUUAAGUUA